rnacentral:rRNA from 1 species
AUUGAACGCUGGCGGCAGGCCUAACACAUGCAAGUCGAACGAGUGGCGGACGGGUGAGUAAUGUCUGGGAAACUGCCCGAUGGAGGGGGAUAACUACUGGAAACGGUAGCUAAUACCGCAUACCAUCGGAUGUUCCCAGAUGGGAUUAGCUAGUAGGUGGGGUACCGGCUAACCUAGGCGACGAUCCCUAGCUGGUCUGAGAGGAGGACCAGCAACACUGGAACUGAGACACGGGCCAGACUCCUACGGGAGGCAGCAGUGGGGAAUAUUGCACAAUGGGCGCAAGCCUGAUGCAGCCAUGCCGCGUGUAUGAAGAAGGCCUUCGGGUUGUAAAGUACUUUCAGCGAGGAGGCGGUACUCGAAGAAGAAGCACCGGCUAACUCCGUGCCAGAAGCCGCGGUAAUUC